UACGUAGGGCGCAAGCGUUAUCCGGAAUUAUUGGGCGUAAAGAGCUCGUAGGCGGUUUGUCGCGUCUGCUGUGAAAGACCGGGGCUCAACUCCGGUUCUGCAGUGGGUACGGGCAGACUAGAGUGCAGUAGGGGAGACUGGAAUUCCUGGUGUAGAGGUGAAAUGCGCAGAUAUCAGGAGGAACACCGAUGGCGAAGGCAGGUCUCUGGGCUGUAACUGACGCUGAGGAGCGAAAGCAUGGGGAGCGAACAGG
rnacentral:rRNA from 1 species